UGAGGAAUAUUGGACAAUGGUCGGAAGACUGACCCAGCCAUGCCGCGUGCAGGAUGAAGGUCCUAUGGAUUGUAAACUGCUUUUGUAAGGGAAGAAUAAGGAGUACGUGUACUUUGAUGACGGUACCUUACGAAUAAGCAUCGGCUAACUCCGUGCCAGCAGCCGCGGUAAUACGGAGGAUGCGAGCGUUAUCCGGAAUCAUUGGGUUUAAAGGGUCCGUAGGCGGGCUGAUAAGUCAGAGGUGAAAGCGCUUAGCUCAACUAAGCACUGCCUUUGAAACUGUCGGCCUUGAUUGAAUGAUUGAGAAGUAGUUGGAAUGUGUAGUGUAGCGGUGAAAUGCUUAGAUAUUACACAGAACCCCGAUAGCGAAGGCAUAUUACUAACAAUUUAUUGACGCUGAUGGACGAAAGCGUGGGGAGCGAACAGGAUUAGAUACCCUGGUAGUCCACGCUGUAAACGAUGGAUACUAGCUGUUUGGAGCAAUCUGAGUGGCUAAGCGAAAGUGAUAAGUAUCCCCACCUGGGGAGUACGCACGCAAGUGUG
rnacentral:rRNA from 1 species